AAAUCAUAGAAAGUAAAAAUCCCAGUGCCCAGACUCCAAAGAACCUUAAUCUACCUUCAUGGACAAGGUGUUGAAAGUUAUCAGAAGACACUUACUCUCAUCUGCUUUUUUGAGAAAGUCAGUAGCUAAUAGUACACCUUUCCUACCUCCUCAAAACCGUGAGUUUUGUGACCAGCCAUUUCUCCUUCACCUUUCUGCUCCAUGUAUUAGAAAGAAAGGGCUAUGAUCCUUGGAAUAUCUUCUCAAGUACUCUUUUCUUUUUUUUUUUUAAUAUAUUUUAUUUGAUCAUUUCCAAGCAUUAUUCGUUAAAGACAUAGAUCAUUUUCUUUUCCUCCCCUCCACCCCCCAUAGCCGGACGCAUAAGUCCACUGGGCAUUAGAUGUUUUCUUUAUUUGAACCCAUUGCUUUGUUGAUAGUAUUUGCAUUAGAGUAUUCAUUUAGAGUCUCUCCUCUGUCAUGUCCCCUCAACCUCUGUAUUCAGGCAGUUGCUUUUUCUCGGUGUUUCCACUCCCAUAGUUUAUCCUUUGCUUAUGAAUGGUGUUUUUUUCUCCUGGAUCCCUGCAAGUUGUUCAGGGACAUUACACCGCCACUAAUGGAGAAGUCCAUUACGUUCGAUUAUACCACAGUGUAUCAGUCUCUGUGUACAAUGUUCUCCUGGUUCUGCUCCUCUCGCUCUGCAUCACUUCCUGGAGGUCGUUCCAGUCUCCAUGGAACUUCUCCACUUUAUUAUUCCUUUUAGCACAAUAGUACUCCAUCACCUCAAGUACUCUUUUCAAAGUUUGCUAAUCCUUAAAUUUACUUAACUCCUUUCAUAAGGAGGAUCACCUUAAUUUUGCCCUUUGCAAUUUUCUUGAUGUUUAGGUUUAGGCUAAAAAAAAGUGUGUGUGUGUGUGUGUGUGUGUGUGUGUGUGUGUGUGUUUGGGUGAGGGGAUAUUGCCUCAGAAUUUUUCAUUAAAUGUGCUUUUAUAAUUUUUCUUCCUUUUCUCAACUGUUUUUCCUGCUCUGAAAGGCUUAAAAGGAGAGUUCUGCAUUAAGGAAACAUAAAGAUUAAUGACCAGAAUUAUGCACUUUGGGAAAGAAGGGUGACACAAUGUAAUAAUAUUCCUUCACUAUAUUACAGUGAAAGAUAAUUUUUAAACAGAACUAAGAGAACUUAGAAUUGAGAAGAAUUUAAGAAUCAACUAAUCCAAUCUUCUACUUCAUGUGUACAAAUCAUCUUCUCGGUAGAAUAUAGGCUCUAGAAGGACAAGGACUGUUUUGGUUUUGGUUGUGUAUUUCCAUUGUCCAGGGCCCUGAGCUAAAUAAAUGCUGACUUAAUUGAUUUAUGAUGAAGUAUUUACAAGUCAUACGGUUUUUGGGGAGCCAUCAUUGUGAAUAUAAGUUAUAAUCAUACAGUAGAAGUUCAUAAAAGGGAGUUAGUGGAGAUGCUAGUUAAUAGAAUGCUGGGUAAAAAGAGCCUCUCCUAGUGAAAUUCAGAGGGGACAGUUUCCCAAGAGAGACCAUAUCGGCUCUUGUCAAGCUUGUCAAAUGGGUAUCGUAUAAUAAAUAUGGCAACUAGAAUGUGGAAAGACCCAUCAUUCCCAAGUUAUUUCAAAUGCUGUAUUCUUCCACUGCCUUCUUUGCUUUUGUUUUUUUUUUGGAGAGAGACAAGUUCCUUAAUUUCCUAAAUCUGCAAAAUAAAAGGAAAUAACUUUAAUAUUUAGAUGCUCCUGUGUAGUCCAUGGCUUAUAAAUGCCUACCUAGGGUGAACGUUGUAGAUUGAUAUUCUCUCCUAGACUCUGAAGCAUGUUUCCUUGUUUGUCUAGAGGCCCAGGAGAACCCCUAAUCUCUCCUUAGUUGUCUUGUUUCUACUAAAAUGAUUUUUUUACUCAUUCCCAGGUCAAUUCAUAGUGUCAUGGAUUUACACCCACAAGGGAACUGAAGCUGAGAGGUUAAGUCACUUGCUCUAGGUCACAGAAGUAAUAAAUUCUAGAACCAAAGUUUGAAUCCAGGCCCUCUGACUCUAGAGCCAAUUCUCUUCCCAUUGAUUGAACCCUGUCUCCAAUACAGGUGGGCAGGAUGAUCCAAAUUAUCUAACAUCUAUGGGAAGGUAGAGAAAUCAUGUGCUCCUCCAGCAUUGUGGGGAGUCCAGAAGAGAAAUAUUAUUCAUCUUCCUUUGUAGACUGUGGCAACUAGGUAGCACCAUAGAUAGUGUACAGAACAUGAAAUGAGGAAACCUGAAUUCAAAUCUAGUCUUAGACAUUUAUUAGCUGGACAAGUCAUUUAAUCUCUGCCUCAGUUUCCCCUGACAUUGAAAUAUUAAGUUAAUGUUCACAAGAUACUUAACACAUAUCAUCUCAUUUCAAUUCUCUCAAUAAUCCUAUGAGGUAGGUUUUAUAUGUUUUGUUGUACCCAUCUUGCAGAUGAGAAAAUGAGUUUCAAAGAGUUGUAACUUAGAAAAACGUAUGAUCCAUCACAUAAUUCAAUAUGGAUAUGAUUAGGGGUUUGGCAUUAAAAGAUCACUCUGCUGCAAAUAUGAAGGACAUGGAAAUGGGUUUUGAACAAUGAUGCAUGUAUAACCAAGUGGAACUGCUUGUCAGUUCUGGAGGGGGGAGGGAAGGAGGCAGUAAAUCAUGAAUCAUGGAACCAUGGAAAAAUAUUCUAAAUUUUAAAAAAGGGGAGGGAUGACUUGCCUAUGGUCUCUCAUCCAGCAAUUCAGAAGCGAUAUUUGAACCCAGGUUUCUUUUUCCUGGUCCAGAAUGUUUGCCACUGCUUCAUGCCAUAGAUUCUGCCUCUCAUAAGAAGAACAUAAUUGUAAAAAUGUUUUACUUGAUUGCCCUUGUAAAAUCUUUAUCAGACUGCUGCUACCUCAGGGAGGAGAGAAGAGUGGGAGGGAUUAAAGGAGGAAGGAAAGAAUUUGAAACUCAAAAUUUUUUAAAUGUAUGUUAGAAUUUGUUUUUACAUGUAAUUGGGGGAAAUAAAAUAAUAUUUUAAAAAGGAGAACAUAAUUAAUUAAUAAUAGUUAAUAAUACCUAGCUUUUAUAUGCUAAAGUUUGCAAAAAAAACCUUUUCAUUUUAUCUCUUUUGAUCCUCACAACUACCCUAUGAGGUAGGUGCUAUUAUUAUUCCUAUUUUACAGAUGAAGAAACAGAGACCAAAAGAGGUUAAGUAACUUGUCCAGGGUCACCUAGUUAGUAAGUUUCUGAGGCAGGAUUUUAAUUCAGGCCUCCUUGGCCACAAGUCUAGCACUUUACCUACUAUUCUACCUAGGUGUCUCCAAGUUGUACUAAGAUGUUAAUGACUUGUUUUAUAUUAUUGACGAAAUCAGUCUACAGUAUUAGUAAUAAAUAUUCCAAAAACUGUUUUCAUUUUUAAAAAGAACCAUGUGUAGAGGCAUUAUUUUACCCAAAGAAAUGAAUUUCCAAUGGUAGAGUUUCAGACAGAGUGAACUGAUGGUAUCUUUUCACAAGUGGGAGCUCUGAAAACAUGUGAGUGUGUUUUUUUGGUGGAAAGGGAAGGGGAAAAAAAUUGUUCCUAUAUUUGUCCUAAAGUAAUCUUCUAGACUUUAGACGUAAGUGACUUUUCUAAGAAGCUGUGGAAUAUUCAUUCAGUCAUACAAAAAUGUUAAUAAUGUACUUACUUUGUGUAGAGCAUCCUCUUAGGCCUGAGGGGAUUAAGGCAGUUUAGAUGAGACACCUGCUUGCCCUCUUGGCUUUAAAAAGCUACAAAUUUUGCCUAAAUAGAAUGACAGACCUCUCAAAUCAUAUCAUUAAAAGGCCGAGCAUCUUAGAAAGAGGACUAUCUCUGCUCACAAUUCUUAGAGUUUCCAGCUGUUGUUAUUGACAUAGUAUGAACUGUUCAGUCAGCCUCUGCUUUUUGGAUCAAAGUUUCAACAUCCUGAUUGUUGGACAAGCCCCAUCUGCUUCCUGUGAGGCAUUUGCUUACCUGUUCUAUCCCGGAUGUGACCCAUUUUGUUCUUUUUCUCAGCUUGCUCCUUCCUUCCACUAAGGCCUGUGAUGAAUAGACAUUGUUGGCUCAAAGUCAAUAUCAACCUACUUCUUAUGGUAUUAGCUCAUCCAACCCUCUUGGACUCUCAGGUACCCCACCCAUGUGAGCCUGAUUUAUUUAGCUCAUGCUAAGCAUCUGCUCCUUUAUCCAGGUGUGUCUGUUUUAUGAUCCAAAUCUGAGAAUUUAUCUGUGUAGAGAACUCUCAAUGAGGAAAUUCUCUCUUAAAUGUAGUUCAGCAACAUAUAAUCUUAGAGAAUUUCCUGGGGGCACUGAACAAUUAAUGUGUCAGAGGAAGGACUAUAGCCCAGAUCUUCCUAAAGGAGAGGUACCUCUCCACUAUGUUAUGCUGAGAAAGAAAUGGAUGGGAGGGUCUAGUUUUUAGAGGUCACCAUAAGUAGAGGCGAUGAAUAAUCCACUCCCAAGUGUUCAGAGGCUGCUUGUUUCCAUUGAAAAUAAGUAAUAGGUUCAGUGGAUUGAGAGACAGUCCCAGAGAUGGGAGGUCCUGGGUUCAAAACACUCUUCAGACACUUCUUAGCUGUGUGACCCUGGGCAUAUCACUUGACUAUUGCCUAGCCCUUACCACUCUUCUGCCUUAGAACCAAUACAUAGUAUUGAUUCUAAGAUGUGUGAAGAUUGGAUUUCGCUCUCCCCUGAUUGUAACAAUGAAGAUACUUAACUCUUCCUUUAUUGUGAAAAUUAAAUUGUAAUCCCCUGAUUGUAACGAUGAAGGCAUUUAGCUCUUCCUUUAUUAGGAAGAUUGAAUUGUGAUCCAGUCUAUUUUUAGAUUUUAAUCUACAAAAAGGUGGUAACUCAGGAUUUGAAGUGUUAUCUACCCAUUUUAACUAAAAAAAGGUGUUAACUAACUACAAAAGGUGAACAACCAAAAAAGGUGUUAAGUAACCAAAAAAGGUAUAAUCUAACCAAAGAAGGUGUGAACUAAAGAGUGGGCAGUCCUGGAAAGGAGUGUCUGCUGUGAUUGGUAGAUGUGAAAUUUAGGGGAGGUGACACAAGAGAAAAAGAUUAUUAAAAAGAGGACCAGAGGCCAGAAGAUAUAUUUGAUUUGAGUUAGAUCAACGAACUCUCACUUGGAGGAGAGACUGGAAGAUAGAUACUCGGACUUGACUGUGGAACUGGACUCCUGGAGGAGCUUGUGCAGGAGACCUCAGACUGCUUUCCUUUUAGGUGGUUGCCAUUGGUGAGUGAAAGGUUGACUUAGUAACCUUGCCUUUUUCAGAGCUGUAAACCUCUGAGAAAGGCCCAUCAUCUUGAGACUUUUUCCCCUGAUUUGGGCCUUAGAAUUUCUACCUAACUCAGAGGAAGCCGGAGUUGUCUCUCUCUCAUUCCUUAAUAUCUUCCCUCUAUUGUAAAUAAAACUACCAUAAAUUACAUUUUACUUUAGUAAUUCAUUUUGGGAGAUAGAAAUUAAAUCCCUGGCGACCACCAAAUUAAACCACCUAUUAAUAUAUUCCAUCCAACCACAAUUAAAUUUAACAUAUGGAAGGUAAGGUUUUUUUAAAAAAGUAAAAGAAUGGGUAGUCUAGUGGAGAAGAUGGGAUAGAGUAGGAUUCAUUAUUUGUGGUGGUAGAGGGGAUUAGUCUUGGCAAAGACUAGGUCCACUUCUUCAAGUGAGUUGAGAUGAAAUGGGAAUUCAUGAGAAAUAACCUCAAUUUUUUUCUGUAAAAUAUGAGUUAAGGUUCUCAGAGAAGAAAGGGGACAGGUGUGACAGAGGCUGGCACUAAAGAAAAAGUGCCAGGCUGAAGAUUGUGUGAAACUGAUCACUUCAAUAGAGGAGGGGCCCCAGGAGAUUGGAAUCUUGAGGAGAAGACUCUGGCUGGUAAAAGAGUUGGUCUCUCAGUCUUGAGAAGCCAAAGAGAGAAGGUGGAAAAAGACUUUCUCCUGAGGGUUACCCACUUUUUCCUGUUUGUGACUGGAAAUCUUUCCCUUCAACACUUCCCAAUUGAAGGGACCCAGAGAAGAGAAACCUGAGAAAGACAUUUUGAAUCUCUGUCAGAUUUUAUUUCAGCUCCUGUUGCCCUGAGUCUGAAUUGUGACCAAGGGGCCAAACCCAGGGUGAGUCAACCUGACUUUGUCUCAGGGGGCUCAGACUGCCAAGGCUUGAGUUCCCCCUAAACUUGAGGAGGAGAGAGGGGAAAGGGUUUAGAUAGAGACAGGGACCCCCUUUCCCCACUUUCCUUUCCCAUUCUUCCCUGCCUAUUAUUUCUUUUGUAUUACCUGAUUGAACUGACUUCAAAAGUUAUCUGUUCCCCAAGCUGUGAACAAAUGUGAGUGAACAGAUCAAGGAGAGACCCUUUGGUCUCGAGUAGUGGAGGGGGGAAAAGAGGAACAGGAGUGAAUCUGGGAGAGCAGCCUUAGCUAAGGAAGGAAGGCCGAAGGGGGAAAAUCUUCAAACUCCCUCUCCUCUCUUUGAGCCAAUCCUAAACAUCAGCUAUCUCCCCUGAGCCCUGCUUUGAGAAGGGAGGUUCUCCUCUCUUUCCCCCUCUUUAUACUGAAAGACUUAACCACUCUAAUACAAAUAAACAACCCCUCGAAUACACAGGGAGAUAUCAGAUAUUCAAGGACUAGUGAAAAGUUUCAGAAGAGCCAGCAUGGCAGAAUGGGGAUAGUGAGCCUAAAGGGAGAUAUAGUAAGAUUGCCUAGCAGCAGUGAGAGUCUAGUUGAGAUUAUGAAAUAUAAAUUUGUAGUGAACCUAAGCCCAUGCAUGAAGUAUAAAUAACAUGGAAAUUUAAUUUUGGACCUUUUACUCAAAUAGAAAUGCUCUUCUUUACUAAAGAGGGAAGAACAUUGGGGAAAUGGUUUUCAAAAGGUUUUCUUCUCAACAUUGAAAAUAUGGGCAAAUUGCAGCCUUUAAUCUUUUACAAAAGAAUCUUUAAAGUAGGAACAUAAUGAUCAUACCGUGCUGAAUGAUACCUUAAGUUACUCAUGUAGAAUGCAUAGAAGGUGGUUUUUAUGUGGUCAGUAGAGAUCAUUUACUUCCUCCAAGAGGUUGUUUCUUAUUUACUUGUUUUUGUUUAUUCUUGCUGAAAUGGGAAAAAUCUGUUGAGUACCAGCACAAACAGCUGUCUUGAUAUUUUAUACACAGUAUGUAAUGCAAUAUUGUACAAACAAGAAUAAAUGUCACUGCUAAAACAAAACUGAGGGAAAUUAUAAAAUUUUUAAAAUAGAUUUUAUGAAAUCUUUAAUUUUCCAUUAUCCAAAUUAGAUCCAUCUCACAUAACAAAAAGAAAACUGCAACAUUUAAAUAAAAUUGUAACUGUAUAAGAAAAUUAUUUAUCUAAUGCUAUGUCUUUCCUUUCUGUUUCAGUGUGGAGAGUCUCUAUUUUUUUGCUACAUUUACCUGCUCCCUAUAUUUUUUAUGUUAACACACACACACAAAAACACAAAUAACACUUCCUUUAACAUCUUCAGUCUUUCAAGUAACUGGCUUCCUGUUCUGUUUUACCACCAAAUUUUUAAGAAAUAAUUUAUACUUCAUGCCUUUACUUGAACUCCUUACAAACCCUACCUCAGACUCUUCUUACUCCUCACCACCCUCCACCCCCAGUUUUUAAAAAGCAUUUGACAUUGUGGACUACCCCUUCCAUUAUACUUUCUCCUUCUGUAGUUUGGGUGACACUAUCCUUGGUUUUCUUCAUAGAAUUCUAAAAUCAAGGAUUUAGGACUAGAAAGGGCUUUCAAAGUCACUUAAUCCAGUCCAUUCAUUUUACAGAUGACAAACUGAGGCCUAGUUUGACACAGAUAGUAAAUGGCAAAGCUAAGAUAUGAACCAAAGUUUUCUUUUUUUUUUUUAAUUUUAUUUAAUUAGAUGGUUUAGAAUAUUUUCCCAUGGUUACAAGACUCAUUGAACCAAAGUUUUAUGUCCAAAAUGUAGCAUUCUUUUUCCUUUACCUGCUCCUCUUCCUGGUCCCUUUGAAAACACAGAUAUUCAUACUAGAUGAGGUAUCAUGAUAAGACUUGAGUUCUACUGUCAUAGAACUGUAAGAGUUAGAAGACUUUAACUUCCAUAUACAAUCCAUAUCUGAAAACGAUAUCCAUUUGAAUGUGCCCAACAAAUAUUCAUACGGCAUCUACUUGAAGACCUCCAAAGAGGAAGCUAGGGAUGUCAUGAAGCAGAGGUGAGAAGGAAGAGCAUUCUAGGCAGGAACAAGAGAGUUGAAGGAGCAGUAAGUAGAUUAGUGUAACUAUAUCACAAAAUGCAUAGAGGGGAGUAAAAUAUAAGGAAAUGAUGAGAGUAGGAAAGGCUAGUUUAUGAAGAAUACCAAACAGAAGAUUUUAUAUUUAGUCCUGCAACUAAUCAGGAGUUUAUUUGUUAGGAAGAUAGCAUGGUCACUUUAGAAAAAUUACUUUGCCAACUAAUGGAAGAAUGAAGUUGUGAUAAUUAAAAUAGUUGGUUGUCAUAAACUGUAGUGAUUAAAUAGUGGAAGACUUAAAUUGUAAUAGAUAAAAGAGUAGAUGAGUAAAUUGUGACCGCAGAAAAUAUGUUUUCACUACAGUGUCUUGUUUUUAAAUCAAUAUAUAAGGUGAUCACCAGGGAAAUAUUCCCAAUUAUGAAUAUACCCAAGUCAACUGGGUUUUAUAGAGAAUUUAAUUCAUACAAAUGAGGAAUUAAAGAAAGAAAGAAUAAGAAAGGAAUAGGUAUGAAGGGCCUUAAGCCAAUAUGGCCUAGACCAGAGUCUUAAGAGAGAGAUCAGUCAGUCCUUAAUCACUCACCAUAAGAUCUGUUCAAGCAAGGAUUCAGACACCAGUUCAGCCAGCCAUCAGACUCUCUUCAGAGCCUCCUUUGAGACUCUUCUUCUCAAUAGCCUCCUUAGAGAUUGUUUCUUCCUUCUCAGAUUUCUCAUCUCCUUAUAUAGGGAAUUUUCUCCUAUGUCACCUCCCCUAAGUUCUUCCAUCUACCAAUCACAGUAGACAUUUUUCAAAGGACAGACUAUUCUUAGUCCACACCUAAGAAGGUGUAAAUUUUUGAGUAAUUCACACCAGGAAAGCUCUGAGUAAGUUUCUCAAAUCUUUGUUCCUUGUAAAUUCACAAGUUGCUUGACCUUUAUAGGUACUUAUCUUAAGAACUUUUUGCCUCAUUAUAAGUAUGGGUUUAAGUACUUUUCAUUGUUCAGAAAAGAGUUUACAACUUUAUCUUCCCCUAGGGCAGGCUUAAGUAGGUGAAGUAGAGUUCUUACAUUCCUGAUCUAAGUAGAGUUCACUGCCCAAAUGGGGAAUGGUCUUAAUUCAAUCUUAUGAAGUAGGGUCUGGGAAUUUUUAAGGUUCACAGAGUGGAAGAGACUUGCGGUAGGAAGACUAAAUGGAAGACUAUGCCAACCUGAAAAGACUUAUAUGAAGUGAUACAAAGUGAAGUGAGCAGAACCAGGAAAAUGUUAUACACUGUAACAACAAUCAUGUAUGCUGAUCGAUUGUGAAUAACAUAACUAUUAUCAACACUUCAAGGAUCCAAGACAACUCCAAAAACUGAAGAUGGAAAAAGCUAUGUCCACCACCACAGAAGAAACUGAUGGAGACUGUGUAUAGAUGGAAGCAUACCAUUUCACUUUAUCUCCUUCAUGAGCUUUUUUAAACAAGUAAUAUGCACCUUCUUUCACAACAUGACAAACAGUGAAAUAUAUAUAUACAUAUAAGCACAUGCAUAGUGUAAACCUUAAAAUUCCUUAGACUUAUAAGUGUUGGAAAUUUCACCAUUGGGAUAUUUCAUACUUGGAAAAUUUCUUACUGAUAGUCUAUUGGAAUAGGAACCCCAUUGGCAUGGGAGGUUCCUCCUCUUCCCUUCUUAAGAUUACUUUAGGACAGAAACCUUUUGCUGAACAAUGGAAAGGACUUUGACCUAUGCUUAAGCAUAGAACAGGAAUUUCUUUGAGUCAUGAUUGAUUUUAGAAUUGAUACAAUGGAGAUACUUGGAAUCAAUCUCCACCCUAUUCAGUCCUAACAGGAUUGAGUAAGGGCUGCAGCCUAGAUCAAAAUUUAAUUAUUCCAAUCUCUACCCUACUCAGGUUAACAGGAUUUAGAAAGGGCUGUAGCAAAGGAGCAAAGAUUUAAUUAUUUGAAAAUAUGACCUUCAACAGACAUGUGCAAAGCCUCUGGGCGGUCUUGGGUUAAGCUAGAGCCACCAUUGGCACAGGGAAAUUGAUGGACAGUGAUUGGUAGAUGUGAGAACUGAGGGGAGGCAACUUGGAUGGUUUCCUGAAAAAGAGAGGGGGGCUGAAGACUGGGGGUGGUGGUUGAGAAGUUGGUUGGUGUGGUUGGUGUGUGCUCUGAGAAGCUUGCUCUGAAGGAAGCUGAAAGUGGGGGCCUCUGAGACUGUUUCUCCAUUUUUGGUCACGUGAGUAAUAGGGACUGAUCUCUUUCCUUUGCCCCAGCUAUCUAAGGGCUUGGGCCUUUUGGCCCAGCCUAAACAGAAGGGGUAUUUAAGCCCUAUUUCCUUCUCUCCCCUUUCUCUCUCUCUCUCUCUAAUUACUUCCUCCUAUUGUAAUUAAACUCCAUAAAAGAUUGACUGCUGACUUAAGUUUUCAUUUAGGAAUUACAUAGCUGAUUCCUUGGCGACCUUAAAUUAAUAUAUAUCAGUCUUUUAAAGUGAUUUCCUUGUCACAAUAGGCUCUAUCAUAAUACUCACCAUUUUAGGGAGGGGAGAGAAGAAGGAAGGAGACAGAGAACAUGGAUCACAAAAUGUUUGAAAAGAGUUAUUAAAAAUUAUAUCAACAUGUAAAAAAAGCAAAGAAAAGAAAGGACAACAACAAAAGGAAGGCUCUGUUAAUACUUCAUAUGAUAGGUGAGCAUGGGUAAUGGUGGUAUGAGUGGAGAAAAAAGAAUGUAAAGGAGAUAUUUUUGAAGAUAGAAAUGUCAAGAUUUGGCAACAGAUUGUAUAUGAAGUAUGUAAAUUUCUAAUGUGGUAAAUACCAAUAGUUAUAACCCAUAUAAACAAAAUGUCCUUGGGAGCAUGUCCUUAAUAAUGUGUAAAGGAGUCAUGAGCCCCAAAAGUUUAAGAAAUAUUGUUUUAUGAGGGGCUACACAAUUUGUUCAGCCAUUCUCCAGUUGAUGGGCAACUAACUUGUUUCCAUGGUUAUUUCUUCUGCCACAAAAAGUUCUUUUUAACCUUUUUUUUAUUUUUGCAUACAUUGGACUUUUCCUCUUAAGCUCCAUGGGUUAUGUUUCCAAUAGUGAUACCACUACAUCAAAGCAUAUGUACAUUUUAAUGACUUGUAAGAUAUAAUUCCAAAUUAUUUUCCAGAAUGGUUGGUUGUACUAGUUUAUAGCUUUACCAGUUCUGAUACAUUUCUGUGCCUAUCUCUUCAUAGUUCCUCCAACAUUUUGUCUUUUGUCAUCUUAACCAACCUACUGGUUUUGAGGUAAAACUUCAAAGAUGUUUCAUUUUGUGUUUCUAUUCUUAUUAGUGUUUUGGAGCAUUCUUUUAUACAAUUACCACUGAAAACUGCUUAAAUAAAUCAUAAAUUUCAAGAUAAUUGGGCUAGAAAGUAAAACAAAUAAUCACAAGAAUAAUGUUUCCCAUUUUGUGGUAUCAAUUUCUUUUUUCUUCUUUUCAAUAGAGAUGGAAUGGGAUGGGAGGCCUGAUGGGCUAUAGAAGAACUGAAGGUGACACCCUCACUGGUGGGGGAUAGGCAGUUUCUUUUCUGUCAUCCUAACCUAUGGAAUCUAUCUUGAGUUCUACUUGGAGUUGAAUUUCCUGUGAGAGAGAGUUUUUCAUUCUUUGGAGUUGAGACUGGAUAAGAAUCUGCUGACUGGACCUGAGACCCUGUUCCUGGUGAGGCUGUUCUUAAAUCUCUUCCUUUGGACUGACACAUGAGAACUCUGUGUGAGGAAAUUCUUCCUUCAACAAAUAUAAAUCUGUGAACAUGCGACUUACCAUUAAAGUAUCAGUGGAAAACCCAAUGGCGACAUAGCCAGCAGAAAGACCGCUCAUUUCACAUCUGAAACU